UACGUAGGGUGCGAGCGUUAAUCGGAAUUACUGGGCGUAAAGCGUGCGCAGGCGGCUUUGCAAGACAGAGGUGAAAUCCCCGGGCUCAACCUGGGAACUGCCUUUGUGACUGCAAGGCUAGAGUACGGCAGAGGGGGAUGGAAUUCCGCGUGUAGCAGUGAAAUGCGUAGAUAUGCGGAGGAACACCGAUGGCGAAGGCAAUCCCCUGGGCCUGUACUGACGCUCAUGCACGAAAGCGUGGGGGCAACAGGAUUAGAUA
rnacentral:rRNA from 1 species